rnacentral:lncRNA from 1 species
ACCCACCGCCGAGCGAAUGGAGCCUCAAGGCCAGCCUCGCUGACACGAUGUUCCCGUGCGGCACGCCCGCCCCCCAGAAGUCCUGGAACCCGCAUUUCUGGCCCAAGUACCCAGAAAUAUCCUGUCCCCUUCCACACAUUUCUGGGCUCCUCGUUUAGGAUCAGGUGAGCUAAAGAAACUGAAAGCCCCCUUCUCCUCACGAGGCGGGUCUGAGGCCCAUCCCCCUCCCCACCCUCCGCUUAGCCUCUGAGAGGGCCUGGGGGCCCUCCCUCUGCUGGAGGGUGUGGCCUUUAAGAGUGCCCUGGGGAGAGGGAGCCGCAGGAAUCUUAAGGAAUCUGACCAGUUCCUUCGGCGCGAGAGUAUUGUUGCCCUGGGCGGGGCUGCUGGGCUUAAAAAGCUGGAACCCACCUGGGCUGGAUGCAGCCCCAGGAGCCUCCUCAGACCAGCUCUCUGCACUCAGCUCUCAGCCUAGCCCUGCCGCUGUGUCAUGGAGGGAGUGGUCCGGGGCCUCCUCCUGCUGGCAGGCCUGCCCGUCCUGGAAGCCAAUGACCUGGUUGAUAAAGACAGUCCCUUCUACUAUGGUAAGAGCUCAUAUCCCUUGCCCCCCUGGCCUAUCCUGGACCUCUCUGCUAGAGGUUGGUGAGGGGUGA